GACGAACGCUGGCGGCGUGCUUAACACAUGCAAGUCGAACGGAAAGGCCCUGCUUUUGUGGGGUGCUCGAGUGGCGAACGGGUGAGUAACACGUGAGUAACCUGCCCUUGACUUUGGGAUAACUUCAGGAAACUGGGGCUAAUACCGGAUAGGAGCUCCUGCUGCAUGGUGGGGGUUGGAAAGUUUCGGCGGUUGGGGAUGGACUCGCGGCUUAUCAGCUUGUUGGUGGGGUAGUGGCUUACCAAGGCUUUGACGGGUAGCCGGCCUGAGAGGGUGACCGGCCACAAUGGGACUGAGAUACGGCCCAGACUCCUACGGGACGCAGCAGUGGGGAGUAUUGCACAAUGGGCGGAAGCCUGAUGCAGCAACGCCGCGUGCGGGAUGACGGCCUUCGGGUUGUAAACCGCUUUCGCCUGUGACGAAGCGUGAGUGACGGUAAUGGGUAAAGAAGCACCGGCUAACUACGUG
rnacentral:rRNA from 1 species